AGCCAAUGGGUUCUGAGAUUGAAUUUCAUCCAAUGCGUUCCACCUCUUUUGCUCUCCACACAGACUGUUUACCAGCAUGCAACAAAAGCCUGCUCAAACGUGAUUGGUCAAAACUAAUCUCUGACUAGCAAAGG